CCCAGAGGUAUUGAUUGGUGAUAUAUCGAUGUGCUCUGUACAUUGAAACCAUUUGAUUACACCAACCUACGCGGAUGCGUAGGUUUUUUUU
rnacentral:sRNA from 3 species